rnacentral:rRNA from 1 species
CAAUAGCGUAUAUUAAAGUUGUUGCAGUUAGAACGCUCGUAGUCGGAUUUCGGGGCGGGGCGACCGGUCUGCCGAUGGGUAUGCACUGGUCGGCGCGUCCUUCCUUCCGGAGACCGUUCCUACUCUUAACUGAGCGGGGGCGGGAGACGGAUCGUUUACUUUGAAAAAAUCAGAGUGUUUCAAGCAGGCAGCUCGCUCUUGCAUGGAUUAGCAUGGGAUAAUGAAAUAGGACUUUGGUGCUAUUUUGUUGGUUUCGAACACCGAAGUAAUGAUUAAAAGGGACAGUCAGGGGCACUCGUAUUCCGCCGAGAGAGGUGAAAUUCUCAGACCAGCGGAAGACGAACCACUGCGAAAGCAUUUGCCAGGGAUGUUNUCACUNA